rnacentral:misc_RNA from 1 species
GGAUUUGACUCAUCAGUUUGAGGCCUUAGACUGGGGUGGUGAUCUAAGUAGUUAAGCUUUCGUUCUUCUUCGAAGACGUCGAAUCCUAAGAUCUAAGAUAAUAGAAAGGAAGCGAUCAGCUAAAAUAGUAUUCUCGGAGAGAACCUCCCACACAGGGAAUGCAUACUGGCCUAACGGUUUGCUCUUAGCACACAAGUAGUUGAAGGUUGUCCCAAGGGUGCCAACUUCAGAAGAUGCAGAAAGACCUUACAGCCUCAGCGGGUGAAC